rnacentral:misc_RNA from 1 species
GUCAGAUUCCCCAAACCAAUCAAAUUUCGAAAUACUUUGUGAAGCUGUGAAUAAUUCACGAUCUUUGGGUUCACUAAACGGUCACUGAAACGAAAGAAGUUAAAUUAAACUUUUCGAAAAGUCAUGUCCGCUUCAAGUAAAUCCANCGAAUCCAACGGAAUUGAGGAAAAUGGCGAUUGUGAAAUUCCGCAAGAAAAGACAAUAAGUGAAGAUAUGCCUAAAUGGAAACAGGAGCAAAGAAAAAGAUAUAACGAAAAAAUCCGAAAAGAGGCAGAAGAAAGGAAUGCAAGAAAGAAAAGAGAAGAAGAAGAACUACAGCAAAAGUGGGAAGGUGUUCCUGCUUGGAAGGCUACAAUCAUCAGGAAGCGCGAGGAAAUAAAAAAGCUAGAGGAAGAAAGAGUGUUUGAGGCCCAACGCAAAGAAGAAGAAGAAAAGGCAAGAUGGGAAAACCUACCAGUGUGGAAGAGAGGCAUUUAUCAAAAGAAGGGGCUCAAGCCAGUCAACAAAACACCUGAACAUAUAAAUCCAUCAACUACCGACAGCCAAGUUACUAGGGAUGAAUCUACCCCUGAUAACUGCCAUGCUAGCNAGGAUGCCGCUGACCAAGACAACUGUGCUCCCACAGUUGAUGAGCAGCACAUUGAGGAAUUUAAUGCCAAUGAUGCCACAAAGACAACUGAUGCUGAUGGAGAUCAACAAGAACAACAUGAUGAUGAGCAAAGGAAUGGGGACAUCUGUGCCAGUGACAAUGAUGAAGUAUUUGUACAAGAAGAUAAAGAAAUUCCCAUUAUAGUCCAAGAUGCUCCUCAAGAAAAUGAAGAAGUUAGCAAGAAUGAACAAAUUGAUGACAAUACAGCUGUUCAACAAAUUAAUGAAACAGUGGAACAGGAAGACCAACCUAAUGGACUUACAGCUGUGUGAAUGAAUACCUGGGAACAGUACAGCCACUGAAAUAGUACCUAUGCACUUAUUGGCACCCACCAUNAUCACACCAUUAGAUAUUAUUCAAGUUUCACUUCGCAUGUGUUAGCUGUGAAGUCAGGGUAGCAAAGCUCUACAAGGUUCCAUUGUUUACAUGAGAAGGCACUCACAUUGGUUAGCUCUUUUGUGUCCUUGUGAAAAUGAAUUGCCUAUCCCUAAAAUUUCUAUGGAGAACAGGGAGAACUGGUCUUUUAAAGCAUGGGAUAAGUCAUACAUUAUUGCUAAAAUAUAAACAUGAAUGUAAACAUGAAUUUUGAAUACUGGUUGGACAUCACGUCGAUUUCAAUUUUCAUGCUCCAGUCUCAAUCACAGGUUUAUAGACUCUUAGACACAAUUCCUUCACAUGAAUAUCUAGAAUGUUUAUUCAUAAUGCACCACUCAAUGAAACACGGCCCCCUCCCUCCCCCCUCCCCCGCACCCAAGAAAACACAGUUUAAAUAAGCUUAACCUAGCUCCAAACAUUUCCCAGUCCUUUUAAAAAGGCCACAAAAUGGUGGUAACAGAUUCUCUUCAAAUUAGACNUCAAUUCCCAUUUAAAUUAAAACAGUGUUAAAUCAGUGGGUUCUUNUCCGGCCAUCUCCAGGGGUUUGUGGCNGGGGCUUUCAUUGACUGAUGCACAAUACAGUGACAAAAAAAUAAUGCAUUGCCAUAAANUAUUGCAACUUUCAGUGAGAUUUUUGAACAAAAGUAGUUUGCAGUUGUCUGUUUUUAGCAAAAAAAAAAAAACGUCCACUAAAAUGAAACUUUGCGUUUUGUCGUCUAGAACUGCAUUUACCUUGCACACAGCACUUUACAAUGCCAUAUUAUGAACAUGCACAACAUGAACACGUUAUAUACUCCACUUUAUGCGCGCUUCCAUCGAAGAGCAUUGAUCAGAAAUCCAAGCCACAUCCACAUAAAAUAGACUGAAACUAGAAAAUGAAAUAUUAGAAUUAAUGAUUUCUUAUUGAGUGACUCCAUCAAACAUUCAACUACGGUUAUAAAGUCACAUUAAAAUACCAAAAUGAACAGGGAUGCAAGUAUUGCAUGUCUGACAGCAAUAGUGCCUUUUUUACCAGGCGUUGCUCACUUACUCGUCCCAGUACUUUUCAGGCUGCUCACGGUUUAUAAAAAAAAAACUAUAAUCUCAAUUGAAAGCUUUCAAAUNUGAAUCGAAUUAAAUGAGAAUAUCAACCUAUUCAAAAUGGGAAGAAUUCAUAUUAUAUAGCUGAAAAAUUUGUCUAUUUUCCUAAACAAAGUGUUUCAAUUUUAUCACGUGAUCAUUCCCAGAAUGCANCNAGAGNUAGGAUAGACAACAAAACAAAAAACAUGGCUGUCUAGAGUAUGAUGUGAAAUCAUUGCAAAUAAUAGAAAACACUACUUUUAGCUGGUUUUAUUGCCUUUUAUUGUACGUCUGUUCCUCCAUAAUAGAUGUUCAUCGAAGAAACUCUCCAGAAAUGCAUUUUAACUGACGAUCGGCUCUGAGUCCAUGCAAAAAUUACAUUGAUAGUUCAUCAAAACAAAGGGAUUUCUUAUUAUUU